rnacentral:rRNA from 1 species
GAUGAACGCUGGCGGCGUGCCUAAUACAUGCAAGUCGAGCGAACAGACGAGGAGCUUGCUCCUCUGACGUUAGCGGCGGACGGGUGAGUAACACGUGGAUAACCUACCUAUAAGACUGGGAUAACUUCGGGAAACCGGAGCUAAUACCGGAUAAUAUAUUGAACCGCAUGGUUCAAUAGUGAAAGACGGUUUUGCUGUCACUUAUAGAUGGAUCCGCGCCGCAUUAGCUAGUUGGUAAGGUAACGGCUUACCAAGGCGACGAUGCGUAGCCGACCUGAGAGGGGGCUCGGCCCAAGGGGAACUGAACCCCGGCCCAGCCCCCCAGGGGGGGCAGAGGUGGGGAAUCUUCCCAAAGGGGCAAAAGCCUGACGGGCCAACGCCGGGGGGGUGAAGAAGGUCUGCGGGCCGUAAAACCUUUUUAUUGGGGAAAAAAAAAUUUGUAAGUAACGAAGCCCGUUUUGAGGGAACCUAUAAAGAAAGCCCGGGCUAACUAGGG